CACCCAGGCCAUGAAAGUGGGCUCAAGAACUGCUUUCCUCAAAGUCCUUUGAAAGAAAAGGGCCAAGAAUAAACAGAAACCAGCGUGUUCUCUCUCUGUGGCUCACACUGCAGCUCUCAAGACUGUGAUAUGUUUACAAGAAUUAUUUCCACUAAAGAGUCAUCAGAAACUGAUGAAAAUUUCCAUCUGAACUGAGACAACCUUCUCAAGUCAGGCGUCGGGUUUGUUGGUUUAUUCCCUACAAACAGAUAAACUCCUGCUUCAUCAUCUGGACUGUCUAUAGGCACUGCAGGUGUUGAUUUCAGCUGCCAGGAGAUCAAAAGAACUGAAAGGUUUGCUGCUUUGAGUUUUAUUCCUCUUGAGGCUUCUUUUAAAGAAUAAACUGUUACAAAACCCC